GGAAAGUGAGCCCAGUUUCCAUCGUAAAGUUGACCUGUUUUUCUUGUUGACUCAAUCACCCAAUGUUCACAUAACCAGAAAGGAAUCGCUGGUGCUUCUUAUAUCCCUACGGUUCAAUCAGCAUUGCCCCGUCUCCUUGGUGCAGCAGCUCCACCAGGGGCAAUUGCUCAUGAAAAUCGUCGUCAAUGUCUGAAGGUUUUAAGGUUGUGGCUUGAGAGGAAAAUUUUACCUGAAUCUAUUCUGCGACGCUAUAUGGACAACAUUGGAGUUUCAAAUGAUGAUACAGUUUCAGGAUUUUCCCUAGGCGCUAAGAGAAAUGGAAGGCAUGCUAGUGGAUGAGUAUGGCAGGUCUAAAAUCUCUUUCAACCAUUUAAACCAAUUUAUUAUAAUGAUAGAUAAAUAUAAUACAUGCUAUAUUACUAUUUAGGUUUGAUAUUUUAUUCAGCUUGGUUCCAAAUACAUCUAAAACCAAACUAUGACCAAAUUACUACAAUGUUUGAUUAUCAUACCAAACUAUAGCUUUUUGCUUUCCAAGUGAAAACAAGCCGUACCAAGUCGGUCAAUCGGAUAUAUCUGAUUUUCAGCUCCGAUAAAAAUUUGUUCACCCCAUUUAUUCAUUUUGGCAUUGUUCUGUAAUCUCGUUAGUAUAUAAAGCCACAUUUCUUUUAUUUAUCUU